CAGGCAGGCGGUCUGUUAAGUCUUCUGUGAAACUCCGGGGCUCAACUCCGGACUUGCAGAAGAUACUGGCAGACUAGAGAGUGGUAGAGGCAAGCGGAAUUCCUGGUGUAGCGGUGGAAUGCGUAGAUAUCAGGAAGAACACCUGUGGCGAGGGCGGCUUGCUGGGCCAUCUCUGACGCUCAUCUGCGAAAGCGUGGGGAGCAAACA
rnacentral:rRNA from 1 species